rnacentral:lncRNA from 1 species
GCAAUGGGUGGAUUCGGGUCCAGAUUCUGGCAGGAGGGAGUUUGGGAUCGAGAUCUGGAAAAAAGCACUAGACUGGAAGAGGACGCGAUGGAGUCGGAGCCGCUGGCGGGGACAAAAACCAGAGGCCGGGGAAGGCGCCGGUGGGAGGCAAGGCGCGCAUAGACUUUACCUGCGCACGCGUCGCAGCCAUCUCCGCCCACAGUGGUGGCCACCGCCACUGGUGCUGAAGUGUCGGCGUGUGCCGGGCGCUCCGCUGGGACCCGGGUUGCUGGCCCUGAGUCUCAGCUUUCUCAUCUGUACGGUUGGGACAAGUACAGUAACCCUCGCCCGUCAAGACGGGCCAGGGCUGUGGCGAGGGUCCACGCCUUAGAGCAGGCACCUAUCUUGUGCAGGGCCCUGAGAUGGGGUCUGACUCAGUUCCUGCGGGGAACUUCACCAGUGACCCAGUCAGUGCCCUU